rnacentral:lncRNA from 1 species
UUGAAAAUUUAGAAGGUCUGAGAGCUUACAGAAUGGAAACGCAUUCGACAAAUAAUUGAUCAUAAGUUUUUUCUCUUCUGUUUCAGAUUGCAAAGUAGUUAAACGGUUCAAAUGUUGUGUUUUCUGUGAUAGUUUACGUACCUGUUUUACAAAGUCGAUUAUUUUUGUUGGGUUUUCCUGAGCUCCAAGGAUUGCAGCCAUGAAAACAUUCACUAAGGUGUGAUGGGGCAAAUACAAUAAAGAUCCAAGAUACAAAAAAUUGAAUGAUUCUGUGAAGCAAAAUGUGUGAAAUGAAAUAAGAAAGAUAAAAAUGUAAGCCUGAAAAUUGAUACCCAAUGCAGCUACAAGUAAAUAUUCCAGUGCCAUCAAGAGGAAACUAUCAACAUGUGAAUGAAGUCCACUCUCUUCAUGAACUUAAGUUUCUCGUAUGUGCAGCUCCUUCAGUGUUUCAGCGUUUCAGCCGCCGACCGUAGCCCAGCGCGGUCGGACCCGUUCCGCGACUUACCAACAGGGUAAGAGGCUCAGCUAAUAUGUUCUUCUGACCUAAGACUGAUUGCGAGCACUUUACGGAAACGUAAGUUUUAGUUGAUAACGUCAAAUUUAUGUGCUAAGAAAGACUCAUCAGCUAAUGAUUUACUGAGAACACGUCUCCCUCUUGAGGAGGGAUACCAUAAAGUUUCAUAACAGAAACAUUACCCAAAACGUCAGUGCCUCAUAUCUCAUUGGGUUUUCCCUAUCACAUUCUUCCGUUGAUGUUCUUAAUUGAUUUCCUUAAAGAUGUUUCAUUUUUUAGCUUUAGCGAAGUGUCGCUCAAACCUUCCCUCGUAGGGUGGCUAUAUUGAUCUCGCUUCUGGAAAGAAGUCAUAAAUUCGGCUCUGUCUCAACAUCUGAAGAGCGUCUCAAUAGACGAUUUUAGUGUGACGUCACAUCUCGUUAUAAUAUCGAUACCUCGAAAGUCGGAACGUGCCCCAACAAACGAACAUGGAGGAAUCUGCGGGAUAUAGGCAGGGGGGGUAGGGGUAUUCGCUCGAUGACUGUGUAUGAUAUUACGAGUUUAUUUUACAAUCAAUUCUUGUGAUCGUGAUCUCAAACAUUUUGGUAAAUGAGUAGCUUUCAUAAUUUUGAAGUCCCAUGGAUUAAUUGUUUGGUUUCGGGCUAGUUUUGGCAUUAUUUCGUCAUUUGGACAUUUUGGAGGUUAUGUUUGUUUGUUGGGGCACAUUUCGACUUUCGAGAUAUCGAACCACCAAUAUCGCUCCGUGACGUCACCACUAAAAUCGUCUAUACGUUUAGCAUAUCAGAAAUGUCUGGAUUUAGCUCGUGAAGGAGAUACGAGCGUUUAUCAUUUUAGUUAGUCUUUGUUAACAUAGCUCAAUCCAAUUUUCGAAAAAGAUUAAAUCGACCGAUUGCUCUCAAAGGAUAUAAAAACCAACGUUGGUCAUUAUUUAAAACAAACACCGGUCCGAGGCAAGUUUCAAUAGUAUUUUU